GAUGAAGAACGUAUCGAAAUGCGAUAAGUAAUGUGAAUUGCAGAAUUCAGUGAAUCAUCGAGUCUUUGAACGCACAUUGCGCCCCCUGGUAUUCCGGGGGGCAUGCCUGUCCGAGCGUCAUUGCUGCCCUCAAGCACGGCUUGUGUGUUGGGCCGUCGUCCCCCUCCUAGGGGACGGGCCCGAAAGGCAGCGGCGGCACCGCGUCCGGUCCUCGAGCGUAUGGGGCUUCGUCACCCGCUCCGUAGGCCCGGCCGGCGCUUGCCGACGACCAUCAAUCUCUUUCUCCAGGUUGACCUCGGAUCAGGUAGGGAUACCCGCUGAACUUAAGCAUAUCAAUAAGCGGAGGA
rnacentral:misc_RNA from 1 species